CGGACGGGUGAGUAAUACAUAGGAAUCUGCCCAGUAGCGGGGGACAACUCGGAGAAAUCCGAGCUAAUACCGCAUACGCCCUACGGGGGAAAGCAGGGGAUCUUCGGACCUUGCACUAUUGGAUGAGCCUAUGUCAGAUUAGCUUGUUGGUGGGGUAACGGCCUACCAAGGCGACGAUCUGUAGCUGGUCUGAGAGGACGAUCAGCCACACUGGGACUGAGACACGGCCCAG
rnacentral:rRNA from 1 species